AUGUCUAAUGGGCAGAUCCUUAAGGAUAUCGUAUUCUACAAUGGGAGAUUGUAUGGCCUCACUGCCUCGCAGGACCUGAUCAGAUUCGAUAUAGGCGUGAACAAAUAUGGCAGGCCUCUGGUCGCUGUUGACGUCGAGUUGCGUAUCCAGAUUGAUAAUGAACCUUUAAUAUGGUCAACUAACAUUGUUGAGCUGCAAGGCAAGCUAGCUAUGGUGCUAGGGAAAUUGCCAUGGUACGACACCAACCACGAGCCUUUCUUCAAGGUUUUUGUGCUAGCCGAUGAAUCGACUUCUAAGUGGGAGGAGGUAACGAGUUUGGGUGAUUGUGCCUUAUUUUUGGGGAAAAUGUCCAGGGCGAUUGACAUGCCGGCAGUUGGGCUUGGCGGGGUGCAGAGAAACCACAUCUACGCUGAUGAUAUGACAUACUUGACAAGUUUGGAUGGCCACGGUAAUCGCGUAUAUCCUGUGAAGGACGAAAGUAGUGACAAUGUCAUGCAGAGGGUCAAAUCAGCAGGAUCUUAUGUAGCAGCUCGUGCGCAAACUGGCAUUUGGGUACUCCCUCUGGGCAUAUGGGUACUCCCUCCUUAUUUCUAG
rnacentral:rRNA from 1 species